GAUCAUGUUCGUAAAGGUGCCCCCUACCGACGUGAUCAGCGGACCUCAAGAAAUCACCAAAAGCGUGCUGCAGCAGCUCUGUGUUGGACUGCGUUGACGCUUCGGGGGCAUGUUGUUCUCGAGUGACCUCCCAGAAGGUAAUCGAUAUGCUGCUGGGCAGCACUGGCGUCUUGCGGCUGCCCGUGACGAGUGCUCUCCUAGCUGUCUCCGUGCCCCUCAUCGGGCUCGCCAUUCUGUGCGUGCGGUACAGGCAGCCACCUGCGGACGCUCAACCCGAAAGCGAAAAGGAGGCAGCAUCGCGCGUCAAGUGGAGCCUCUGCUUCUGGGUGCUCCUGGCGUCCUUGGCGCUGUAGCGAGUCGAAGAAGAUCAUGUUCAUAAAGGUGACCCCUACCGACGUGAUCAGCGGUCCUCCAGAAAUCCCCAACAGCGCGCUGCUGCAGCUCUGUGUUGGACUGCAUCGACGCUUCGGUGCCAUCUUGUUCUCGGGCGACCUCCCAGAAGGUAUGCGGGGAACACUGGCGUCAAUGUUGGGGCUUGCUGCAGCAAUACAUGUUGGAUGUAGGAAGUGUGCGGGGAAGACAGAGAAAACGCACGAACAUAUAUCGAGACAGAGCCGCGUUUUUUGUGUUUCGCUUGCCUUCGUUGUCUUCCCGCAAUAAUCUGGUGCAUUGUGGAAGCACCUUGAGUAGAGAACAGAUGGGUACACAACCGAUGCACUGGUUUCAAUGUCGCUGGUUUCAAUGGCGACGUUUAGCUGUGGCACCAAAAGCGUAUUUAUAUAAAA